CGAGUGCCUCAAGCGUUAUCCGGAAUCAUUGGGCGUAAAGGGUGUGUAGGUGGUUUUAUUAGUCUUCUGUUAAAUUCUUCGGCUUAACCGGGGGCAUGCAGGGGAAGCGGUAAAACUAGAGGAUGGGAGAGGUUUGCGGAACUCAAGGUGUAGGGGUGAAAUCCGUUGAUAUCUUGGGGAACACCAAAAGCGAAGGCAGCAAACUGGCCCACUCCUGACACUGAAACACGAAAGCGUGGGUAGCGAAUGGGAUUAGAUACCCCAGUAGUCCACGCCCUAAACGAUGUUCAUUAGCUAUUCGGAGUAUCGACCCUCUGAGUGGCGUAGCUAACGCGUUAAAUGAACCGCCUGGGUAGUACGACCGCAAGGUUA
rnacentral:rRNA from 1 species